rnacentral:rRNA from 1 species
UACGGGGGGAGCAAGCGUUGUUCGGAUUUACUGGGCGUAAAGGGCGCGUAGGCGGCCACCGCAAGUCGACUGUGAAAUCUCCGGGCUUAACCCGGAAAGGUCAGCCGAUACUGCGGGGCUAGAGUGCAGAAGGGGCAACUGGAAUUCUCGGUGUAGCGGUGGAAUGCGCAGAUAUCAGGAGGAACACCGGUGGCGAAGGCGGGUCUCUGGGCCGAUACUGACGCUGAGAAGCGAAAGCGUGGGGAGCGAACAGG